rnacentral:misc_RNA from 1 species
UUAAUAAUUGCCACGAGGACUCGGACGGUAUACAUAGGGGGUUCGGUUAGGGCCCUGGCCCCCGGGGGGGCCGAGGCAAGAGGUGUCUCGUCAACAGGUGUGGGAGUGAGGACGCCCCGGGGGGCGCCGCGCUCGGUAAUGAUCCUUCCGCAGGUUCACCUACGGAAA